rnacentral:miRNA from 1 species
UCACUCCGGAAAGUGUCAAUCAUGU